rnacentral:rRNA from 1 species
CCUACGGGGGGCAGCAGUGGGGAAUAUUGCACAAUGGGGGCAACCCUGAUGCAGCCAUGCCGCGUGUGUGAAGAAGGCCUUCGGGUUGUAAAGCACUUUCAGUUGUGAGGAAUGGUUAGUAGUUAAUACCUGCUAGCUGUGACGUUAACAACAGAAGAAGCACCGGCUAACUCCGUGCCAGCAGCCGCGGUAAUACGGAGGGUGCGAGCGUUAAUCGGAAUUACUGGGCGUAAAGCGCACGCAGGCGGUCUGUUAAGCUAGAUGUGAAAGCCCCGCGCUCAACGUGGGAGGGUCAUUUAGAACUGGCAGACUAGAGUCUUGGAGAGGGGAGUGGAAUUCCAGGUGUAGCGGUGAAAUGCGUAGAGAUCUGGAGGAACAUCAAUGGCGAAGGCAACUCCCUGGCCAAAGACUGACGCUCAUGUGCGAAAGUGUGGGUAGCGAACAGGAUUAGAUACCCUGGUAGUCCACACCGUAAACGCUGUCUACUAGCUGUUUGUGGAUUUAAUCCGUGAGUAGCGAAGCUAACGCGAUAAGUAGACCGCCUGGGGAGUACGGCCGCAAGGUUAAAACUCAAAUGAAUUGACGGGGGCCCGCACAAGCGGUGGAGCAUGUGGUUUAAUUCGAUGCAACGCGAAGACCUUACCAUCCCUUGACAUCCACAGAAAUUUCUAGAGAUAGAUUAGUGCCUUCGGGAACUCUGAGACAGGUGCUGCAUGGCUGUCGUCAGCUCGUGUUGUGAAAUGUUGGGUUAAGUCCCGCAACGAGCGCAACCCCUAUCCUUAUUUGCCAGCGCGUAGUGGCGGGAACUUUAAGGAGACUGCCGGUGAUAAACCGGAGGAAGGUGGGGACGACGUCAAGUCAUCAUGGCCCUUACGGGAUGGGCUACACACGUGCUACAAUGGCGUAUACAGAGUGCAGCGAGACCGCGAGGUGGAGCGAAUCACACAAAGUACGUCGUAGUCCGGAUUGGAGUCUGCAACUCGACUCCAUGAAGUCGGAAUCGCUAGUAAUCGUAGAUCGGAAUGCUACGGUGAAUACGUUCCCGGGCCUUGUACACACCGCCCGUC